AUGGUUUUAUAUUCUGUAUUGCAAGAGAGGAAAUGGGAAAAGCCAGAACAUGACCGCAUAUCUCUCUUUGCUAUUCGUCGCUACCAUGAAAUGACAUGUGCUGCAGAACAAAGGCUCAAAAUGCUGCCUUGUCAGGAAUGGGCGAGAAGGCCCUUAUCUAAAGUCAUGAUCGAAAUGGCUAGGGAUUACGUGUCCUUCCUUCCUGCUUUACAUGCUAUAAUAAUAAAGAACUUAAGCAAGUCAUCUUUAUGGCAAGUGGCAGUUCAAAGUGAUGAACUUUCAAGACAUUAUUAUUCGCCAAUUUCUGUCAUGUUUGGGCCUGGAUCAUGUCUUAAUGAUGAACCGGUAGAGGCAUAUACAAAUCGGUGUGCUACUACAUUGUGUUACACCAUCGAUACUGAGCUUGAAAUUCUUGUUGCCACAGAUGACGGAAGAUUCCUAUUGGCCGGAUUUUUUAAAUACCUAAUUAGUAUGCUGCUUAAAAGAAAGAGCUGGAAAGCCUGUUUUCAGUUGCAAAACCUUGUCAUUCGAAAUAAGGAAUUCAUAAUCUCGAUUCCGCCUACUCACGAAGCCAGUUUGAAGAAUGCAUUCCUUGAUCUGCAGAGAAUGCUGAGCCUUCUCCUUCCUUAUUUCUUAAGAAAUAACAGAUAUGCAAAUUACAUCUCUAGCCUCAUUACGGUCAUUGAUAAAUAUUCAAUUGAAAUUGAUGAUUCUGAUUUGGUGAAAUUUCUUUCGGAAUUACUUGGUCACAUGUCAUUUAAUUCACCAGUUGACAAUUCAAGCCUACUUUUUCAUCUGAUCACCAUAUAUAAUAAUAUGCUGCCGGAAGCCGAUAAGAUUAUUUUUGAGCAUGCUGUGAACAGAGCCCAGUUUUUUGAUGAAUCUGGUCAACAAAUUGAUUGGAGAGAAAUGGCAUGGCGAAAGGCUUUAUUGAUUAGUGAUAAUGUUUCCACCACUCCAGUGAGAAAGGUUCAUACUUUCUUUGCAGACUCGAUGUUAUGUCCUGUUUUUAACAGGCACUUUAAAGAGCAUGUGGCUGAAUCAGCAUCUGCAAUUCAAACACCUGAAGAAUUGGACAUCUUUGGACACUUCUAUGGAAAUUUUACGGCUCAAGCUGUGAUGGCAAUCUUUAUGGCAUUCAAUCCUGGCGACAACAAGGAGAUUGAUAAUCUUCGUGAUAAUCUUCGCAGAUGUAGAAUCUAG
rnacentral:rRNA from 1 species